rnacentral:rRNA from 1 species
UACGGAGGGGGCUAGCGUUGUUCGGAAUUACUGGGCGUAAAGCGCACGUAGGCGGCUUUGCAAGUUAGAGGUGAAAGCCCGGGGCUCAACUCCGGAAUUGCCUUUAAAACUGCAUCGCUAGAAUUGUGGAGAGGUAAGUGGAAUUCCGAGUGUAGAGGUGAAAUUCGUAGAUAUCGGGAGGAACACCUGUGGCGAAAGCGGCUCACUGGACCACAACUGACGCUGAGGCGCGAAAGCUAGGGGAGCAAACAGG